GUGCUCGCUUCAGCAGCACAUAUACUACAAUUGGAACAAUAAAGAGAAGAUUAUCAUGACACCUGCUAAAGGGUGACAUGUAAAUUUAUGAAGCAUUCCAUAUAUUU